rnacentral:lncRNA from 1 species
CCCAUUUUAGCAGCCAAGGAUGGGAAUUACACAGCGAAAUGCAGGCUAAUCAGCUAAAUCUAGAUUAAAUAUGCUAGUCCUUGGGGACCUUGAGCUGAAUUAAUGGAAACCGAGGUUUUUAAUGUUCCAGACUAAUUUUGGAAGCUCACUUCCAGCAGAGGCAAACUUGAGGCUGUCCAAAGGGAGCAGAUGGCAAGGCUUUCUCCAGGUGCACCAACCUUUGAAACAGCCCUCGGCAAAACCAUGAGGAAGGAAUGCUCUUCCCUUAGAGAUCCUCGUGGUGAAUUCCCUCAUUUCCUUCAAGUCUGCUCAAAUGUUACUUCUCAAACAGGGAGGAGGCUCCAUGAUCUUACCUUCCCAAUUAUGAAGUAAGCAACGAUGACCUCUUAAACUCGUGAAUCUAACAGUGGUUGGGCAUAGAUAAUUGCUGUGAAAUACUUGAUGACUGAUUAGCUUUGAUAAAGAAUUCUGAGAUAAUUUUUAUGCUGUUGUUACUAAUCCCACCCUCAGCAUUCUUUCAAAAAUGAGAUUAUUUGUCUUUUUCUUCAUGGCCUUGGUGGAAAUAUAAAUUUCUUUUUAACCCUAAAAUUGUCUUGGACUUAUAACUUGAGAUAUCCUAUGAGAAACAGA